GCGUGCGGGCGAUACGGGCAGACUAGAGUACUGCAGGGGAGACUGGAAUUCCUGGUGUAGCGGUGGAAUGCGCAGAUAUCAGGAGGAACACCGGUGGCGAAGGCGGGUCUCUGGGCAGUAACUGACGCUGAGGAGCGAAAGCGUGGGGAGCGAACAGGAUUAGAUACCCUGGUAGUCCACGCCGUAAACGGUGGGUACUAGGUGUGGGUUUCCUUCCUUGGGAUCCGUGCCGUAGCUAACGCAUUAAGUACCCCGCCUGGGGAGUACGGCCGCAAGGCUAAAACUCAAAGGAAUUGACGGGGGCCCGCACAAGCGGCGGAGCAUGUGGAUUAAUUCGAUGCAACGCGAAGAACCUUACCUGGGUUUGACAUGCACAGGACGC
rnacentral:rRNA from 1 species